CAGUCUUAGGAUCUGACAGGCCUCUAGAGACUUAGGCAAGCUGUGAGUGGAAUGGGGAGGCAUAACUUCAGAGGGGCAUCUUGGUCAAACAGCGUUUGCCAUCACCCCUGCUGCUGUUUGAAGAAUUUACAGUAUGCGUGUUUCGGAGGAGAAGGUGAGGGUGGAGCAAGAACAGAAGCUAGGAGGCCAGUUAGGAAUGUAUUGAAAUAGCCCACAUGAGAUAGGCAGGGCAGGGUGUAAUAGUGUAGGUGGUGAUGGGGGGUUACAUUCCUUACACCUUGUCAUGGUAGAAUCUACUGGAUUUGCUCACCAGCUUGUAUGUUAGGUGGGAGGGAAAUUGAAGUUGGCCUGAGGUUACUCAAGAUGUAAGCACCUAAACUAUUUUUGGCACUUUGAUGAACAACUAUAGACCUAGAGGCUAGAAUGUUAAGAUUAUAAUCCUUGGCUCCUUGCAACUCUUGCUUUCAGCCCAACCCAGACCUGCUGACAUAACCUGCUUUUUAACAAGAUCUGCAGGUUGGUGUAGACAUCGGAGCUCGUCACCGCUUUCUUGCUCAGAAGUGAUAGUGUCAGGCUCUGGCCUCAGCUUCAUUCCCUGUAAGUGGCAUCAGCUUGACAAAAGUGGCUUCAGUCCGUUAGCUUGAAGAUGUGGGGAGAGUCUAGUCAGAAUUCCAAUGACACCAGUCUAGUCCCAGGAAGGAGAUCACUGGACCUGUCAUUCUUUACGAUGGAGCAUUACUUUCAGGAGCCUGGCACAGACUGCUUACUCCUGGGAACCUUACAGGACAUUUAUACUGAGUCUAGUGGAAUUAAAAACCAGACUAGCUGCA